rnacentral:rRNA from 1 species
CCCCUAGAUGUUCUGGGCCGCACGCGCGCUACACUGAACAGUUCAACAAGUCUUAACCUUGGCCGAUAGGUCUGGGUAAUCUUUGAACGCUGUUCGUGAUUGGGAUAGACCUUUGCAAUUAUGGGUCUUCAACGAGGAAUUCCUAGUAAACGCAAGUCAUCAGCUUGCAUUGAUUACGUCCCUGCCCUUUGUACACACCGCCCGUCGCACCUACCGAUUGAAUGGUCCGGUGAAAUCUCGGGACGGCGGCUUGGUCGCUUGCGUCCGACUGCUGAAACUUGAUUAAACCAUAUCACUUAGAGGAAGGAGAAGUCGUAACA